rnacentral:rRNA from 1 species
AUUGAACGCUAGCGGGAUGCUUUACACAUGCAAGUCGAACGGCAGCUCGGACUUCGGUCUGGCGGCGAGUGGCGAACGGGUGAGUAAUGUAUCGGAACUUGCCCAGUAUCGGGGGAUAACUACGCGAAAGCGUAGCUAAUACCGCAUACGCCCUACUGGGGAAAGCAGGGGAUCGUAAGACCUUUCACUAUUUUAGCGGCCUAUAUCGGAUUAGCUAGUUGGUGAGGUAACUGCUCACCAAGGCGACGAUCCGUAGCUGGUUUGAGAGGACGACCAGCCACACUGGGACUGAGACACGGCCCAGACUCCUACAGGAGGCAGCAGUGGGGAAUCUUGGACAAUGGGGGAAACCCUGAUCCAGCAAUCCCGCGUGUGCGAUGAAGGACUUCGGGUUGUAAAGCACUUUUGGCAGGAAAGAAACGUAGCGCGCUAAUACCCCGUGGAAAUGACGGUACCUGCAGAAUAAGCACCGGCUAACUACGUG